GUGUGGUUUUGUGUGUGCAUGUGUGUGUUGUAUGUGGUGUGUUGUGUGUAAGUGUGUAUGUCACACAUAUAUUAAAAUCUUAGCCUGGUGCUGUUUGUGAUUACCCAGCCCCAGUACUUCAUGGAAGCAGCCCACAUGGACGAAGGGGCCCUUCCAGUGCUGCAGUCUUGAGCUAAGAGUUCACGUAUUCCGAGACAAUGUGCUUGGGACGUGGGACUUCUUCCCCCGCACUCCUCCUGUCCUCCGCCUCCUCUGUGAGCUGCGGUCUCCCCGCACGCCUGACGCAGGGCUGGUUUUGCUCUGCACCUGCACAGACCGGAGAUGCCCUUGGCGACGUCGUCUGCUCCUCCGGUGCUUCCAAACGCGACGAGGUUUCAUCAUGUUGCCCAGGCUGGUCUGGAACUCCUGAGCUCAAGCAAUCCACCUGCCUUGGUCUCCCAAAGUGUUGGGGCUACAGGCGUGAGCGACUGCGCCCAACCCUCUUCCAUCAUUUUCAGGGAAGGAUCAGGGGUCAGCUGUUCGCGUCUAGGUAUGAACGAGCUUAUCACUGGAUCACCUGUCUCGGGAGGAAGACUUGCCCUGGGGAUGUAGGAACAAGGACUAACCUGCUCAGUGCCUCCUAG
rnacentral:lncRNA from 1 species